GUCUCUUUGAGUUUUUAAUAGAGAGUUGGGCCUGCUCGGUGAUUAAUAUUUAACAGCUGCGGUAUUAUAACUGUACUAAGGUAGCAUAAUAAUUUGCCUUAUAAAUUGAGGCUAGAAUGAAUGGUUUGACGAAAAUUAUACUGUCUCUUACUUAUUUAUUAGAAAUUAAUUUUUAUAGUGAAAAAGCUUAAAUAAUUUAAAGGGACGAAAAGACCCUAUUGAGCUUUAUAUUAUUAUUUAAAUUUAUUGUAUUAAUUUUUAUUUUAAAUAAUUUUGGUUGGGGUGAUCAAGGAAUAAAAUAUUAAAUUUAUUAACUUCCUUAUAUAUUUAAAUAUAUAUAUAUUAAUAAACCAAAUUUUUUGCUUAAAAGAUAAGUUACCAUAGGGAUAACAGCGUAAUUUUUUUUGAGAGUUCAUAUUGAGUUUUGAGAUUGCGACCUCGAUGUUGGAUUAAAAUAACCUUAGGGUGUAGAGGCUUUAAUUGGUUAAUCUGUUCGAUUUUUAAAAUUUUAC
rnacentral:rRNA from 1 species